rnacentral:ncRNA from 1 species
AACCUGGUUGAUCCUGCCAGUAGUCAUACGCUUGUCUCAAAGAUUAAGCCAUGCAUGUCUAAGUAUAAACACGUUUUGUAUUGUGAAACUGCGAAUGGCUCAUUAUAUCAGUUAUAGUCCACUCGAUAGUACCUUACUACUUGGAUAACCGUAGUAAUUCUAGAGCUAAUACAUGCAUAAAUACCCAACUGCUUGUCGGGCGGGUAGCAUUUAUUAGAUUGAAACCAAUGCAGUCUUCGGGCUGGUAUUGUGUUGAGUCAUAAUAACUGUGCGGAUCGCGCUUUUGCGCGAUAAAUCGAUUGAGUUUCUGCCCUAUCAGCUUUGGAUGGUAGGAUAUGGGCCUACCAUGG